rnacentral:rRNA from 1 species
CGUGUGGUUCUAUUUUGUUGGUUUCUAGGACCGCCGUAAUGAUUAAUAGGGACAGUCGGGGGCAUCAGUAUUCAAUUGUCAGAGGUGAAAUUCUUGGAUCUAUUGAAGACUAACUACUGCGAAAGCAUUUGCCAAGGAUGUUUUCAUUGAUAAGGAACGAAAGUUAGGGGAUCGAAGACGAUCAGAUACCGUCGUAGUCUUAACUAUAAACUAUGCCGACUAGGGAUCGGACGAUGUUAUUUCUUGACGCGUUCGGCACCUUUCGAGAAAUCAAAGUGCUUGGGCUCCAGGGGGAGUAUGGUCGCAAGGCUGAAACUUAAAGAAAUUGACGGAAGGGCACCACCAGGGGUGGAACCUGCGGCUUAAUUUGACUCAACACGG